rnacentral:snoRNA from 1 species
CUAUUAUGAUGAUAUUAUUAUUAAAACAGUUAUCCCUGUCUUAAUUUAAUUUGUGUUGAGAAUUUUGUUUUCCUGAAACUUAG